rfam:Myotis davidii contig32216, whole genome shotgun sequence.
AUUGCUUCUCAGCCUUUUGGCUAAGGUCAAGUGUAGCAUCUGUUCUUAUCAGUUUAAAAUGUUAAUAUUUUGGGUAUGUUGGAAUAAAUAAAAUAUAUUUUAAAUUAAUCUCACCUGUU